rnacentral:rRNA from 1 species
UCAAAGAUUAAGCCAUGCAUGUGUCAGUACAACAAAAAUUAAAGUAAACCGGGAAUGGCUCAUUAAAUCAGCUAUGAUUCAUUGGAUCUGUACACCCAGUUUUCCUUGGAUAACUGUGGUAAUUCUAGAGCUAAUACAUGCACAUAUAGUCCCUAACCUCACGGGAAGGGCGCUUUUAUUAGAAUCAAAACCGGUCGGGCUUCGGUCUGUAAAACCAGUUGUGAUGACUCUGGAUAAUUUAAGCUGAGCGCACGGUCUUUGCACUGGCGCCGCUUCUUUCAAGUGUCUGCCUUAUCAGCUUUCGAUUGUAGGUUAUGCGCCUACAAUGGCUAUAACGGGUAACGGGGAAUCAGGGUUCGAUUCCGGAGAGGGAGCCUGAGAAACGGCUACCACAUCCAAGGAAGGCAGCAGGCGCGCAAAUUACCCACUCCCAGCACGGGGAGGUAGUGACGAAAAAUAACGAUGCGAGACUCAUCCGAGGCCUCGCAAUCGGAAUGAGUACACUUUAAAUCCUUUAACGAGGAUCAAUUGGAGGGCAAGUCUGGUGCCAGCAGCCGCGGUAAUUCCAGCUCCAAUGGCGUAUAUUAAAGUUGUUGCGGUUAAAAAGCUCGUAGUUGGAUUUCAGGAUUGGACUGAAGGUUCGCCGUGAGGCGUUUAAAACCUAUCACGCUCCGAAACCAGCUAACACAACAACUUUGUGUAUGCCCACACUAGCUCACACGGGGUGCUCUUAAUCGAGUGUCCCGAGUGGCUGGUAUGUUUACUUUGAAAAAAUUAGAGUGCUUAAAGCAGGCCAACUGAAUGGCCUGAAUGUCUAUGCAUGGAAUAAUGUAAAAGGACCUCGGUUCUAUUUUAGCCGGGCUAUCUUGUGGAACCCGAGGUAAUGAAUAACAGAGACAGAUGGGGGCCUUAGUACUGCGAACCCUGAGGUGAAUUUCUGUGUUUUCAUUAAUCAAGAACGAAAGUUAGAGGUUCGAAGGCGAUCAGAUACCGCCCUAGUUCUAACCAUAAACGAUGCUGACCAGCGAUCCGCCGGUGUUAUACCCAUGACUCGGCGGGCAGCUUCCCGGGAAACCAAAGUCUUUGAGUUCCGGGGGAAGUAUGGUUGCAAAGCUGAAACUUAAAGGAAUUGACGGAAGGGCACCACCAGGAGUGGAGCCUGCGGCUUAAUUUGACUCAACACGGGAAACCUCACCAGGCCCAGACACUGGAAGGAUUGACAGAUUGAGAGCUCUUUCUCGAUUCAGUGGGUGGUGGUGCAUGGCCGUUCUUAGUUGGUGGAGCGAUUUGUCUGGUUAAUUCCGAUAACGAACGAGACUCUGGCCUAUUAACUAGUCGACGGAUUUCCAUGAAUUGGUGUCCAGUUCGCAACUUCUUCUUAGAGGGAUAAGUGGUACUCCUAGCCACACGAGAUUGAGCAAUAACAGGUCUGUGAUGCCCUUAGAUGUUCUGGGCCGCACGCGCGCUACACUGAAGGGAUCAGCGUGUUUUCCCCCUCCGAGAGGAGCGGGUAACCUGAUGAACCCCCUUCUUGAUAGGGAUUGGGGCUUGCAAUUGUUUCCCAUGAACGAGGAAUUCCCAGUAAGCGCAAAUCAUUAGUUUGCGUUGAUUACGUCCCUGCCCUUUGUACACACCGCCCGUCGCUACUACCGAUUGAAUGAUUUAGUGAGGUUUUCGGACUGGCACUCUUGGAUGUCUUGGCAUAACACAUUGAUCUCAGUCAACUGAUUUCAGUUGUGCCACACCUUGAGUUGACGGAAAGAUGUCCAAACUUGAUCAUUUAGAGGAAGUAAAAGUCGUAACAAGGUUUCC